rnacentral:rRNA from 1 species
UAGGGUGAACCUGCGGAAGGAUCAUUACCGAGUGCGGGCCCUCUGGGUCCAACCUCCCAUCCGUGUCUAUCUGUACCCUGUUGCUUCGGCGUGGCCACGGCCCGCCGGAGACUAACAUUUGAACGCUGUCUGAAGUUUGCAGUCUGAGUUUUUAGUUAAACAAUCGUUAAAACUUUCAACAACGGAUCUCUUGGUUCCGGCAUCGAUGAAGAACGCAGCGAAAUGCGAUAAUUAAUGUGAAUUGCAGAAUUCAGUGAAUCAUCGAGUCUUUGAACGCACAUUGCGCCCCCUGGUAUUCCGGGGGGCAUGCCUGUCCGAGCGUCAUUGCUGCCCUCAAGCACGGCUUGUGUGUUGGGCUUCCGUCCCUGGCAACGGGGACGGGCCCAAAAGGCAGUGGCGGCACCAUGUCUGGUCCUCGAGCGUAUGGGGCUUUGUCACCCGCUCCCGUAGGUCCAGCUGGCAGCUAGCCUCGCAACCAAUCUUUUUAACCAGGUUGACCUCGGA